CCUACGGGAGGCAGCAGUGGGGAAUAUUGGUCAAUGGACGAGAGUCUGAACCAGCCAAGUAGCGUGAAGGAUGAAUGCCCUAUGGGUUGUAAACUUCUUUUAUAAAGGAAUAAAGUGAGGCACGUGUGCCUUUUUCUAUGUACUUUAUGAAUACGGAUCGGCUAACUCCGUGCCAGCAGCCGCGGUAAUACGGAGGAUCCGAGCGUUAUCCGGAUUUAUUGGGUUUAAAGGGAGCGUAGAGGGGUUGUUAAGUCAGUUGUGAAAGUUUGCGGCUCAACCGUAAAAUUGCAAUUGAUACUGGCAGUCUUGAGUACAGUUGAGGUAGGUGGAAUUCGUGGUGUAGCGGUGAAAUGCGUAGAUAUCACGAAGAACUCCGAUUGCGAAGGCAGCUUACUAAACUGCCACUGACAUUGAUGCUCGAAAGUGUGGGUAUCAAACAGGAUUAGAUACCCUAGUAGUC
rnacentral:rRNA from 1 species